AUUGAACGCUGGCGGCAGGCCUAACACAUGCAAGUCGAACGGUAACAGGAAGCAGCUUGCUGCUUCGCUGACGAGUGGCGGACGGGUGAGUAAUGUCUGGGAAGCUGCCUGAUGGAGGGGGAUAACUACUGGAAACGGUAGCUAAUACCGCAUAAUGUCGCAAGACCAAAGAGGGGGACCUUCGGGCCUCUUGCCAUCGGAUAUGCCCAGAUGGGAUUAGCUUGUUGGUGGGGUAACGGCUCACCAAGGCGACGAUCCCUAGCUGGUCUGAGGGGAUGACCAGCGACACGGGAAGUGAGACACGGUCCAGACUCCUACGGUAGGCAGCAGUGGGGAAUAUUGCGCAAUGGGCGCAAGCCUGAUGCAGCCAUGCCGCGUGUAUGAAGAAGGCCUUCGGGUUGUAAAGUACUUUCAGCGGGGAGGAAGGGAGUAAAGUUAAUACCUUUGCUCAUUGACGUUACCCGCAGAAGAAGCACCGGCUAACUCCGUG
rnacentral:rRNA from 1 species